rnacentral:rRNA from 1 species
UGGGGAAUAUUGGACAAUGGGCGAAAGCCUGAUCCAGCCAUGCCGCAUGAGUGAAGAAGGCCUUUGGGUUGUAAAGCUCUUUUAGUGAGGAAGAUAAUGACGGUACUCACAGAAGAAGUCCUGGCUAACUCCGUGCCAGCAGCCGCGGUAAUACGGAGAGGGCUAGCGUUAUUCGGAAUUAUUGGGCGUAAAGGGCGCGUAGGCUGGUUAAUAAGUUAAAAGUGAAAUCCCGAGGCUUAACCUUGGAAUUGCUUUUAAAACUAUUAAUCUAGAGAUUGAAAGAGGAUAGAGGAAUUCCUGAUGUAGAGGUAAAAUUCGUAAAUAUUAGGAGGAACACCAGUGGCGAAGGCGUCUAUCUGGUUCAAAUCUGACGCUGAAGCGCGAAGGCGUGGGGAACAAACA